CUCCAUGUGCUUCUUUUAAAUCCUCAAGUGCAUCUGUUCACUCCCAUGCAUUCAUGUUAACCCCCUGUCUGAAUCUUAACCUUCCCCUUAUUUUGUGUGUUUUAAAUUCCCCCAUCUUAUUUUGUGUGUCAAAUAAUUCCCUCCCCACAUACAAGCACACGUCUAUUGUAGAGUAGCCUCUUAUGACUGCUGCAGAGGAUCUCCUGGAAUGAUAGGGAGCUGCAGUGAAGCAUGUAGUGCGUGGCCAGAGAGAGGGGGAUAAGACUGAGCAUUAUAUACCCACCCCCUCCACUCUCUGCACACUCUCAGCAGCACACUG